rnacentral:rRNA from 1 species
AUACGGAGGAUCCGAGCGUUAUCCGGAUUUAUUGGGUUUAAAGGGUGCGCAGGCGGCCAUUUAAGUCAGCGGUUAAAUCGUGGGGCUCAACCCCAUUCUGCCGUUGAUACUGGGUGGCUUGAUUGCGGUCGAGGUUGGCGGAAUUCGUUGUGUAGCGGUGAAAUGCAUAGAUAUGACGAAGAACACCGAUUGCGUAGGCAGCUGACCAGACCGCAAAUGACGCUCAUGCACGAAAGUGCGGGGAUCGAACAGGAUUAGAUGCCCUGGUAGUCCGCACAGUAAACGAUGAAUACUUGUUUUCGGCGAUAUAAUGUCGGAGGCAAAGCGAAAGCGAUAAGUAUUCCACCUGGGGAGUACGCCGGCAACGGUGAAACUUAAAGGAAUUGACGGGG